CAGAGGUUACUGCUAUCKAGAUUCKRCUAAGCCAUGCGAGUUGAAUGUUCUUCGUGAACAUGGCGGACUGCUCAGUAACACGUGGACAACCUACCCUUGGGUCCGGCAUAAUCCUGGGAAACUGGGAAUAAUUCCGGAUAGGUCACCGAUGCUGGAAUGCGCGGUGGCCGAAAGCUCCGGCGCCCGAGGAUGGGUCUGCGGCCUAUCAGGGUUGUAGUGGGUGUAACGUACCUACUAGCCUACGACGGGUACGGGUUGUGAGAGCAAGAGCCCGGAGAUGGAUUCUGAGACACGAAUCCAGGCCCUACGGGGUGCAGCAGGCGCGAAAACUUUACAAUGCGGGAAACCGUGAUAAGGGGAUCUCGAGUGCCAGCAUAUAAUGUUGGCUGUCCAGAUGCCUAAAAAGCAUCUGUUAGCAAGGGCCGGGCAAGACCGGUGCCAGCCGCCGCGGUAACACCGGCGGCCCGAGUGGUAACCGCUAUUAUUGGGUCUAAAGGGUCUGUAGCCGGCCAGGUAAGUCCCUUGGGAAAUCUGGCAGCUCAACUGUCAGGCUGCUAGGGGAUACUGUUUGGCUUGGGACCGGGAGAGGUGAGAGGUACCUUGGGGGUAGGGGUGAAAUCUUGUGAUCCUCGAGGGACCACCAGUGGCGAAGGCGUCUCACCAGAACGGGUCCGACGGUAAGGGACGAAAGCUAGGGGCACGAACCGGAUUAGAUACCCGGGUAGUCCUAGCCGUAAACGAUGCUCGCUAGGUGUCAGUCACGGUGCGACCGUGAUUGGUGCCGUAGGGAAGCCGUGAAGCGAGCCACCUGGGAAGUAUGGCCGCAAGGCUGAAACUUAAAGGAAUUGGCGGGGGAGCACUACAWCGGGWSGAGCCUGCGGUUAAUG
rnacentral:rRNA from 1 species